CAGUGCCUCCACCUUCACCUGCAUUCUACAACCUACGCCGCCCUCCUCACCACCGCGCCGCCCUCCAGCCCGUCCCCGUUCCCUUCCCUCCCUUCAUCCCUCUCAUCUCCGGCCUCUCAUCUCCAGCUCCUCAAAGUGCUGCUACCCUGUUGUUGCGCCACCCCCUCUCUCCAAUCCAUGGCCUAGCUUUGUGUGUUGGUUGAAAGUCUCGAAGAAGGUCCAGCACUGCCCCUCUUGUAGCAGUUUCACUUCGAGUAAUCGUGAAGGAAAAAGAUAGAGAAUCCCGUACUGAAGGAAAUGACUCUGAAAAUCUCAUUGUGAAGGGAACCGUUAGAGCGCUGAAAGGAACGAAAAUCCCUUCACGACGGAAUUUUCGUCCCCGAAGAAAAUCCGUUAAGCUUAGCCUUAACAUGUUCUCUUUUGCUUUGUUGUAAGAAAAUCCGCGUCCACGCUCAGUUUACGCGACGGUCACUGCGCCACUCCUAGGCACUAGCCCGCGCACCAACACGUUCUCCGCCUUCCUGGAACGCAUAGAGAUUUCCUGGAACCCAGAAGCACUUCAAUCUGUUUUUUCCUUUCUCCAUGUAAGAAAGCACUAACUUUUGAACACACUGUGCUAAUAGAUGAUGCUAAUUCCAGCAUCGCUGCUGCAAUGAUGACUUGCCUGCAGGACGACACUAGUAUUUUCACUAUCGUUCGUACUAUCAAUCAUUUAUACUUAAUUCUUAAAAAUUGCAAAUAGAAUGUUUGGUUCUUGUCCUUCUCAUUUUCAUGAUGAUCUUGAGUCUACUCUGCUUGAUUGCUAAGUGAUGGUGGCAUUUGGGAUGGCAGCCAGCAGCCUGAGAACUGUGCUUCUGCCAUUUAAUUAUCUAUAUCUAAGUUUCUAGUUGAUAUCGUAUUUGGAACUACGAAUUCUGAUUUGUGAUAUGUAAUGCCUUCUUAAGUUCACAUCGAUUUGGUAAAAUACAUGUCUAAACUCUAAAGUGAGUGUUCUUAAUGCAUGAUGAGAUCACUGAGUUUAUAGUUGUUAUGGUAUUUGGAACUAUGAAUUCUGAUUUGUGAUCUGAAAUGCCUUCCUAAGUUCAUGUUGAUUUUGGUAAAAGACAUGUCUAAAGUGAGUGUUUUUAAUGCAUGUUGAGAUCAUCUUGGAGAGGUUAUUUUUGUUGUCACAUGUAUCCCCCAUGGGUCUCCGACAGAGUUCGGGUAUCACUAGUCCAAGGAGAGUUGAACAUGCUUAAAUAGAUGAUGGUUUCCUUUGUCUAAAAUGGAAACACAUGGGAGAGAGAAAGACAGGGACUUUGGCUAUACACACAUGCGCGUGUGCAUGCAUUUCGCACAUUUUUUUGCGUGAAAAUUAUGUGACUUGUGACUUGCCGCGCUGUGUAAGUGUAAAUAUGGUAGCCAAUCGUGCAGUAUUCUUUUUUCCUUUAUUGCGAUGAUUAUAUUUUAAUGUGAUUGAACAGGCAUUUGAAAUCAGAGAUAAAUAUUAUAUUUUAGUGAUUUAAUGCGAUUAAAACACCUAUCGUCCUCUUCUCUCGGCAUUCAUCGAGGUGGAGGAGAGCGGGAUCUCUGAAAUCGGUGCCGCAUAGAGACCUGCACAGGGUAGCAAUCAGGUUUUUGAGUAGCGCUUAGCAUGAACACUUGGUGAUUGCUACGUCUACUGCGUCCUCAACUUCAACUACUUCCUCUUCGUCAACGUCCUUGGCUACGACUACUUCCUUAAUAACUUUGACUACAUUGGAGGAGCUGCUUCCACGACAUCGACUGGAUCGCCCAUGCGAAAGCUUGUCUUCAUCAACCCAACAAGUUGUAGGGGCUUCAUCCGCCCUGGUGGGGAACGGGUCGUGUGCUUCUGUUCUUGGUAUUGGUACGGUGGAUCUAAAGCUUACUUCAAGAAAAACUAUCUACUUGAAGGAUGUCCAACACAUACCUUCAAUAAACAAGAACUUGAUCAACAGUUCUCUCCUAUGUAGGAGUGGUUUUAAGCUAGUGUUUGAGACGAAUAAAUUUCUAAUGUCUAAAUUUGGAACCUUUAUUGGAAAAGGCUAUGAGAGCAGAGGCUUGUUCCGUCUAAGUACCGUAGAUUCUUGUUAUAAUCUUAAUGUUGCUACUAGUUUGAAUAAAAUUAUGGACAAUGUAUGGCAUUCACAGUUUUGUCAUAUUGGUUUUGAUA